rnacentral:rRNA from 1 species
AUUGAACGCUGGCGGCAGGCCUAACACAUGCAAGUCGAGCGGAUGAAGGGAGCUUGCUCCUGGAUUCAGCGGCGGACGGGUGAGUAAUGCCUAGGAAUCUGCCUGGUAGUGGGGGAUAACGUCCGGAAACGGGCGCUAAUACCGCAUACGUCCUGAGGGAGAAAGUGGGGGAUCUUCGGACCUCACGCUAUCAGAUGAGCCUAGGUCGGAUUAGCUAGUUGGUGGGGUAAAGGCAUACCAAGGCGACGAUCCGUAACUGGUCUGAGAGGAUGAUCAGUCACACUGGAACUGAGACACGGUCCAGACUCCUACGGGAGGCAGCAGUGGGGAAUAUUGGACAAAGGGCGAAAGCCUGAUCCAGCCAUGCCGCGUGUGUGAAGAAGGUCUUCGGAUUGUAAAGCACUUUAAGUUGGGAGGAAGGGCAGUAAGUUAAUACCUUGCUGUUUUGACGUUACCAACAGAAUAAGCACCGGCUAACUUCGUG